UGCAAACAUGGCAUCAGGAAACAUAAACACCUACAAGAUAAAAGCAAAACCUAAUCCUAAAAAAACAAGCCUGACUAUUUACCCACCCAGAUCUAACUCUGGAUUAGACCCAUGCAACUCACACUGGAGCCUAACAGCAGCUACUGCUGUUCAUGCUACUGUGAGAGAACAUUCUGAGAACUGCCUUCAUGGAGAGCCUAAAAAUCAGGCAGGAAAUCAGAUACAAAGAAGAAAAUGGAGUAACAAGAUAGUGCCACGUUACUGUAAGAAGAGCAUAAAUCUUUAUACAAGGGGGCAGACUGGAGAACGUCAGGGAUUUCCAUGUGUGAAUGUUUAAAAGAAAACCUUAUUCGUGCUGGAGUGGGGAAGAAAGGAACUGACAAUCUGGGAACACAAAAAGAAAAAAGGGGGAACCUUAAAAUAUGAAGAUUGGCCAAGUCUUGAAUUCUGAAGGUGAGACUUGUGCAAUGAAUUCCCUUCACCACUCUUAGGAGUAGAGUUCACACAGUUAUCUGACACCAUGCAGCAUCCUCUCUUCUGCUGUAUGACUUAUCUGUCAGAUCCCAGUUUGCCUGGGAGGACAAGAGGCUGUAGCACAGGGAUGCAACCUGGAAAAUCCUCCUUCUGCGUGGCUCCCCGUCAUCCUUUUCUGCCUGGCUACUUAUCCGCACGCCAAAUGUUACACCUACUUUGGGUUUUUCACACACUUCGACUGGAUAAAUUUCAGAAGUCAGAAGGAAGAAUAAACGUUAUAGACAUUAGGUAGAUCCUUCCACACAAAUUGUCUGAUGGAGAGGAAAAUGGUGUCUUCUGCUUUCAGAGAAAGCAGUUGGAAUCAAGCCCAGAAACUUUUUGCAGCUACUUUAACUCAGCCACUCUGCACACCAACCUUUAGGCAUAAAAAUGAUACAAUAUUAAAAAGAAAGAGGUGCAGCAAUUUCAGUUAAAAUUGCACUCGUUAUCACAAUUUCACAUUUCUCAGCUAUGUGUGUGCUUCAGCUCUCAGCUAGAAUGUACUAAUUGUAACUUGACACAGACAAUACUGGUAAAAAGGAUUAUGCAAAAAGGUAACACAUAAUAUUCUCUCCAAAAGUGAGAACUGUAGUCCAGCUUUGGAACAGACUGUGCUUCUUACUGGCUUUGCUGAGAAUUUUCUUUUGGAUUGAUGGGCAGCAUGCAGUUCUCAGAGCUUUCAGCUGGCCACUCCAACAGGUGAUGUGGUAUCUCUAUUUCUUUAAUCUUUAGUUCCCUGUUGCACUGCCAUAACCAAGUGGACAUAUUUCAGUGGUGAGCACAUAGAAUCGAAUAAUGUCCUGGGGGACAGCAGGUUGACUCAGCAGUGUGCAUUACAAAGAGAGUGGCCAGCACGUUGAGGGAGGUUCUCCUCCAAGACUCCUCUGCCCUGAAAGGGCACAUUUGGAUCACUGUGUCCAGGUCUGGGCUCCUCAGUUCAAGAAAUACAGAGAACUUACAGAGAGACCAGUGGAUGACUGCAGAAAUGCCUGAAGGGCAUCCUCAUGGGGAAGGCUGAGAGCCCUAAGGCUGUUCAGGCUGGAGAAGACCGAGAGGGGAUCUUAUGAAUACUUAUAAGUAUCUAUCAGGCUGGAGACAACUGAGUGGGGCCAGGCUCUUUUCAGUGGCACCCAGAAACAGGACAAGGGGCAAUGGACACAAACUGGAACAUAAGAAGUUGCUUAGGAACAUGAGAAAAAAAAUCCUUAUUUUGUGGGUGACAAAGCACUGGAGCAGGCUGCCCAGAGAGGUGGCAGUCUCCUUCUCUGGAGAUAUUCAAAAUCUGUCUGGAUGCUUUCCAGCGUAAGGAACCUUCUUUAGCAGGGGGUUGAACUAGAUGAUCUCCAGAGGUCCUUUCCAGUCCCUAUGAUCCUGUAAUCCUGUGAUUCUCUGAACAAAAAAGCAGGCUAAGCUCACCAUUGCUAUGUACUUUUUUUGUAACUGGCUGUUCUCCUGCAAGUUGGGCAUGGAAAGCUGCCAGAUCCUAGUAGUUGCCUUUCACGCUUCUAUUGUGCAGGUUAUUUCAGUAGUUACAAGGCAAUGAAGCUAUCAGACACAUAUAUCAACUUACAAUUGCAUGUGUACUUUCAGAACCAGUUUAACAACAGCUUGUGUUUGUGCAUCUGUUGAAGGGUUCAAACUUACACACUGAAAGAAAAGGAAAUGCAGAACAGGCACCUGCAUUUGUUGUUACAAGUCACUGUGAUCCUGUUCACUACUGUGGUGCUUCGUAAAUUUUUACAGAGCCUGUCUGACUCCAGGAGCUGGUGGCUGGCAGAACAGAAGAAAUGCUUAUAUUGAGGCUAUCUAACAAACAGUAUUUUAGAGACAAAAGGCAAAAGGGCAGAGAGUCUUUACGAAGGUGCUUCAUCAGCACUGUUCAUCAGACUAUUGCUAUCUUCCACCUGGCUACCCGGAUGUUCUUAGUAAGCAUAUUUUUGCCUUUUUAGGGUGGUCAAAGAUCAUUUGCUCCUUAUGGUAACUUACUGAAAGAAAUCUAGAAGCACAGAAUACUACAUUAUCAGAAUAGUAAAAAGUUAUGUAUUAUUUACAAGCACAGUGUGAGCUGUCAGGUCAGUUAAAUCAAUUAUUCACCAUUUGUUCAAUUUAGCUUUGUAUGAAUCUUCAUUUUCUCACUCAGCAAAUUCCAAGUUUACCACAAAGCCUUCUGCCAUGUCUGUAAUGAGAACAGACUGAAAAGUAUAAAAAGGCAGACAGCUUACUAAAUUUAUAAGCAAUUGCUCAAAAAAUAAUGCUCAAUGUCUAUACUUCAUCUGGAGUACGAUUUUUGAGCAUAAAUCAUACAUGAUAUAAAUACAUAUAUAUAUAAAAUUUACAUUUCAAGAUAGAAGGAUUCAAUUCUAUCCAAUUUUUGACUGUCAGGUAGAGUAAAAGACUGAGACAUUCCUGUAGCAAACUGAGUGACUGAGGAGGAAUUAGCAGAUUUAAAACCAGAAAGUACCGUUAUGAUCCAUGACCACUUGGAUCACAAGCAGAUAAAACCUCAAACAGGAACAUGACUUCUGAUUGAACUAGACCAUUUGGAAGAGCUUUCAAUUUGGCCAUACCUUGAUGCUUCAUAUCAACGGAAAGGUCAAAAAAGAAAUAAAUGCUUCAUUGUGCGACUAGACAGCCAGCAGGCUAGAUUCAAAAUCUUGUCUGUUCCAUGAUUUACAAAUUGAAAUGCAUUGCUAGGAAAAAUUGUUGGUAUUAGAGACUUAAAUGCAGCAUGUUCAGGAAGCAUGGAAACUGUGAUCUUACCUACAUUAACUAUAUGCACUUUGGCCUUGCCCAAGAAAAACCCCUCAGCUAAAAAGUCAAGAACAAUCACUUUUCUUCUCAUACCUGGCCUUUCUUGACUGGGACUGUGUUAGUGGAUUAGGAAAAAGAAACAUAUGCAUGACAAUGACUCAUUUGUUUAUUGAUUUAUUUGUUUAUUGAUUAAAAAUGAUCUUUCAUUAGCUGCACAAUGGGAGCUGGCCAUAUAUAACUUUACAGUGUCCCACUUGUGAAGCAAAAUGAGUUGGAUCAAACUACAUGAAACUUGUCAGCUUCCCCCCCCCCCCCCCCCCCCCCACUGUACCCACUGUAGUUGUCAUUAGCUAAUUGCUUUCUGUAGUAAUCAUUGUUUUAUUCACUGAAAUGUUAAUAAUGAAGCCUCUGGUGUAGCAAGUGAGAAUUUUCUCUCUAUACUUCUCUCCUGGUGGAUGGAAUUCAAUUAUAAGAAAAUAUUAAAUCAUACCAUCAUUUUAUUUUCUAUGCCCAAAAUUUGAGGUGAACAGAAUUCUUCAGAGUAAUCAGAAGGUCCAGAUUCUGCAUUUUAUCUAACAUUGUGUAGGAUGCAGCUUUACCCCUUGCUCCUUCAGAAAAACAUUUCCAGUUCUAUGCACGUUGAAUUAAGCUUACAUAGCAAAGAUGUCUUCACUGAGCCCAGCUGUCCUCAUGAACUGCCCUUGUCACUGCGUAGUUUGAAGGUGAGUUGUAUUACUAGGAGUAGAAACUGGAAGUGUGAUGGAAUUGAGCAGAAUAAUUAUAACACGUGGAAGACAUCUCCUGAACAGGCAGAAAUAUGGCUGAAAUCUGCAAGGUCUGAAUUCUAGCAUUUCACUCACAUUUCAUUCUGAUAAAUCCAAUGGGUUAGAAAUAAAAAAAAGAAAUAAGGCAAUCUAUGCAAUCUCCAGACUUGCCAAAUAAAGAUAGCAUGAGUUGAGAUGAAGGAUGUGUAUGCAUUUUCAUAGUCCUUCAUUUCUGACUAUCAUAAUUACUAUUGGUCUUCAAGGCCUCUUACCAUACAGAAUGAUAUUUUUUAAGCAAGGGUGAUAUUGUUUCUCUGUAAGGAAGCAUUAAGGGUUACCUUAGUAGAAGAGAGAGCUUUUCAGUCUGUCUGUAUUAAAUAAGUAGACAGUGGAAUAGGGAAGAAAUGGGCUGGUUACUUUUAAGAAAAUUUGAGCAUAGGGGAAGAUUUAUGUGCUCUACAGCAAAAGAAUAGCUGGAGGCAAGUUGCAAUUCCUGCAUAUGCAGGAAUUUGUGCUCACUGUGAGACUGUCCAUGUGGUUGACUGGACCAAAUUACAUCAAAUGAGACAAACAGUUCACUACUACAGAGCAGCCUGCUUUCAGUGUCACAGUUACAACCUUCUUGUGUGACAGAUUGAAACACAAAUAACCAGUGCAAAUUACAUAUAGGCACAUAGACAAAUUGCAUAUAGGCAAAUUACAUAUAGGAAAAUACAGAUUAUUACAUAAUAGGUUGAGUGGGAAUGGUCACAAGUUGCAGCAGGAGAGGUUCAGGUUGGGUAUAAUGAAAAACUUCUUGUCCAAAAGAGUGGUGAGGGAUUGGAAGAGUCUGCACAGGGAGGUGGUGGAGUCACCAUCCCUGAAAGUGUUCAAAAAGUGUAGAGAUGGGGCACUGAAGGACAUGGGCAGUAUUGGUGGUAGGUGGACAGGUAAACUAAAUGGUCUCUUCCAGUCUUAAUGAUUCUAUGAUUCUAUAUAAGUCCUGGAACUUUAAUUUCAAAGAAUGGUCUGGAGAGAUCUUUCAGCAUAAGUGCUGAAUAUUCAAAAUUCAUUGGAGCCUUUAUAUUUCCUAGAGGAGCUUGGUAUGGAAGAGGAGUUUAACUUAAAGCAUCACUCAUGUUCUAUAUCUUAUAUGAUUCUUAUUCCCAUUUCAGUAAUCAGUGUUUUUUUCUGUGCCUUUUGUUUCCUCAUUAACUGGACCAGGACACUAUAUCUCUAAAAAGGUAAGAACAUAAUAUUUUCAAAGUAUUAUGAAAUAUCAUUUUAAAUUAUUAUAUUUAUCUGUCUUUGAAUGCAGCUUGUUUGGAAUCCAAACAAUACACGAGAGAUCCCAAUAAAAUAUCAAAAGCCACCUCAGAAAAACAGCUUUAUGAAGUCAUUAAUUCUUUAAAAGCUCAUCAGUUUAGUUACUUACUGAAGACACUUGCUCCAGAGAGGCUCCUUCAAGAUUUUUAUCCCAUGGAUAUUAACAUGCCGAAGUACAUUGCAAGUCUGACAUUUUUUCCCUGUCUAUCCAUGCAAGAAUGUAAUCGAAGAAAAAACUAAAUUAAACAUUUAUGAUGGAAGCUGUAUGAAAGCUGAGAUAGUAGCUUGUGCUAAUGUGACAGCUUUCCAGUCUGGUACCUCGCAGACAAGCUUUGUUCCUGUCUGUUCUGCCUAUGUUCCUUCGCUAUUUAAAAAGUAUUUUCGUCGAGAAAACAUCCCCUGCUACUCAAGUAGGAACUGAUGUGUUUUCUGCCACUUCUAAAAAUGAUUUCUGUUUCUAAAUGGCAAAGUCUGCCCAGUUGCUUGAAGCAUGUACAACUGUGUAGCCAAGAGAGAAACUGACCAAUAGUCUCAAUGGUGAUUAGAAGACAAUUGGUCCCUCAUACAUGUCUUCAAAAGUGAGAGCACCUGGCAGCUUCUGAAAUAGCCAACUUUCUGUUCCUUCUCUGCCACGAUGGUGGGAAAACUGGAUUCCAACACAGUGCUUCUCAGAAAUAACUACAAUUUUGACUUCUUUAGUUCAAAGGCCUGAAGCAAUGCAGAAAAGAUGACACACAUAAUGACCCAACCAACACUUUGUAACUCUACAGUGAUUCUUCAAAUCCUGCUUUGACAUCAAGGAGCUUCAAUUUGUUGCAGGUACCAAGGAAGGAGCAGAGAGGAAAAGAUAAUUGGGACAGUGCUCCCAUUUGAAAGGGAGCUUAUGGUUUCCUGCAUGGAUGGAGAUUAAACAUGUCUUGCCUACUUGGCACUGACCACAUGAAAUACAGUAUCUAGAGAGACUUUCUGAGCAAGGACUUGACAGGCAGACAUUUAAGAUCGUUGAUUUUCUUUGCAUCUUCUAAACUAGAAGAGAGAUUUUGGUGAGGGAUGAUUGUAAAAUUAAAAAAAAAAAAAAGAAAAAAAAAAAAAAAGA